rnacentral:rRNA from 1 species
GACGGGUGAGUAACGCGUGGGCAACCUGCCCUGUACAGGGGGAUAACAGUUAGAAAUGACUGCUAAUACCGCAUAAGCGCACAGUACCGCAUGGUACGGUGUGAAAAACUCCGGUGGUACAGGAUGGGCCCGCGUCUGAUUAGGUAGUUGGCGGGGUAACGGCCCACCAAGCCGACGAUCAGUAGCCGACCUGAGAGGGUGACCGGCCACAUUGGGACUGAGACACGGCCCAAACUCCUACGGGAGGCAGCAGUGGGGAAUAUUGCACAAUGGGGGAAACCCUGAUGCAGCGACGCCGCGUGAGCGAUGAAGUAUUUCGGUAUGUAAAGCUCUAUCAGCAGGGAAGAAAAUGACGGUACCUGACUAAGAAGCCCCGGCUAACUACGUGCCAGCAGCCGCGGUGAUACGUAGGGGGCAAGCGUUAUCCGGAUUUACUGGGUGUAAAGGGAGCGUAGACGGCAUGGCAAGUCUGAUGUGAAAACCCUGGGCUCAACCGAGGGAGUGCAUUGGAAACUGUCAGGCUGGAGUGCCGGAGAGGUAAGCGGAAUUCCUAGUGUAGCGGUGAAAUGCGUAGAUAUUAGGAGGAACACCAGUGGCGAAGGCGGCUUACUGGACGGUAACUGACGUUGAGGCUCGAAAGCGUGGGGAGCAAACAGGAUUAGAUACCCUGGUAGUCCACGCCGUAAACGAUGACUACUAGGUGUCGGGUGGCAAAGCCAUUCGGUGCCGCAGCCUACGCAAUAAGUAGUCCACCUGGGGAGUACGUUCGCAAGAAUGAGACUCAAAGGAAUUGACGGGGACCCGCACAA